UGCCAAACCUUUUUGUCAGGGUGCUUCUUUGUUCGUUCUAGAACAACUUUAUCUACAGAAGUGUCUGUUACUGUUUUGGAAGAGUAAUACUGUUCGCUUAUCCAUAUUUCCUCGUUCUGAGGAAGCCUUUUGGAUAAAUUUAGAAGGACAACCUUUGUUUUAAAGGUACACCUUCGCUUUUAGAGCAGUGAGGAUCUUAUGAGUUGAGCUUUUGUUAUUUGGGAUUUAUUUCCCAGAUAUCCGUACAAUAGUUCGUAGUAAAGAUCCUCACAAUU
rnacentral:snoRNA from 20 species